AGCGUAGACGGUGUGGCAAGUCUGAUGUGAAAGGCAUGGGCUCAACCUGUGGACUGCAUUGGAAACUGUCAUACUUGAGUGCCGGAGGGGUAAGCGGAAUUCCUAGUGUAGCGGUGAAAUGCGUAGAUAUAUGGAGGAACACCGGUGGCGAAAGCGGCUCUCUGGUCUGUAACUGACGCUGAGGCUCGAAAGGCUGGGAGCGAACA
rnacentral:rRNA from 1 species